UCGUAGGUACCCGCCUGCGGGA
rnacentral:sRNA from 1 species